AGAGAAUGUCCGUUUCUCGGAGCGCAGCACAGCCUGUCCCAUCGAGAAGCCUCGGGUGGACAUGGACUCCAUGGAAGCCUGAGCUGCCAGGGGCUUCCCUGGGGCAGCACUGCUUCGCGUAGGCUCACGAGAAACUUCCAGGGUUCCUGGGAAAUGAAUGAAAAUAAACAAACAAAUUCCUUGCAUUCAACGCAGCGUAAGAAAAAUCACAUCCUGUUCCCCAGUAGCUGAGGAAAGCCGGCUCACGAGAGUAUACAGGGAGAAGAGGCCAGCAUUGUGUGGCUGCCAGCAAAGCUCACUUGUAUGUCAAAUGCAGCGCUUUUCUUAGCCCAUUAUGUAUUUUUUUUUUCUUGAACACUCCUGUGUCUACUGGGAUCUCCUGUUUUUAUUGUUUUGGGAUGAGAUUUUAAAAACACCAUUUAAUGUAGCCUGUGUGCUCUUGUUCAUUAAACCAAAAAGAAACCCU
rnacentral:lncRNA from 1 species